AAAAAGUUCUAACAUCGUCUGGAGCAAACUCGGAGAAAAAAGGACAUAACAUUUACACAAGGAUGUAAAGGAAUGGAGCUGGGCUGGGUUUGGAUCGUUCGAUGGCAACAGUGGUCGACUUGUCAGCGUGUGGUUUGGAUUGUUCCAUGGACGUGGAAUAAUAACAAAAACUCAUGUGGGUAGCAGUAGUCACCUUUCAAAAAAAACUCUCAAUGAAUUCACUUUAGGCUAUGAAAUCAAAUCAAUAUCAGAAGCACCAAGUUUUGAGAAUAAUAUUAUAACACUUUCAUACCAUAACAUAGAUACUCACACACAAGUUGUUUUACUCACUUAUAUUAUAGUUUUUUGUGGCUCAAUUCAACUCCUUUGGUUACAUUUAUGGCAUAUAUUUUGGCAAAAUUAUUUCAGUUAGAUGCAAAUCAAAAGAUGAGCUUGGUAUUUAAGUGAAACUUUCUAUAGUUUUUGGGUAGUUCGUGUCUCCGGUGGACGUGGACCUAUAAAUAAUUCUGUCUCCACCUCCAUGCUUUCUCCGUCUGCUAUUUGUUGCUUCUCUUGUGUUGUUGAUAAGUCCAAUGGUUGCAACCCACACUUGGCCCGCAACCUUGUAUUUUCUUCUAUCAGGAUUUUCUCCUCUUCCUUUAGCCUCUCGAUCUGUUCCCUGAACAGCUGAUUCUUUCUUGUCCUGAUUCUGGUUAAGCUUCGCUCCAGCUGAUUCUCUAACUGCUGUAGCUCAUCAAUGGAACAUGGUUCCAAUUCAUCACCUAGGAGUUUUCUUUUAGAAAUUUCAAGAAGCUCGAUCUUCUUUGCCAGGCUAAACGUAUCUUCCUUCAUAUUCUGCAAGUUUUCUUGAGAUGUCUUGAUGCUGAUUCCUAGAUCCUUGGCUUUCUUCUGAUAGCGCUCUAUUGUCUUAUUAAUACUGCAGCUGGAGAACUCAUAGAGCUUUCCCCUGGGAGAGAAAAUGAUAAGUGCAACUUCAGCAUCGCAGAGAACUGAAAGCUCAAAGGCCUUCUUGAGGAGCCCAUUUCUUCUCUUUGAAAAGGUUACUUGCCUACUGGUUGCGUUUUCUAUUCUCUUCAUCUGAGUCCUUCCUCUCACCAUAUUUGCAUAUACCUGCAGGAGAAAAGAAAUCCAAAGUAUAUUUAAGCAAAAAGGAAGGAAAAUACGCUGGAAAUAGCUCAAGAUGGAAAGAACCAGAAACCAAAUGGUAAAUUUUUUGUUUCUAGGAAUAUGAAGAAACCUAAUAUCAGAGACUACUAUACCAACUAUGCAAGACCCAAAUAAGGUUUCCAAAAAUAGAAAGGCAAAUAACAAAAUUUUGGACAAAUUUGGAAAUGCCUGACAAGAAAACUGAAACCUUUAUGUGCAAGAGUAAUAGAAGAGAGAAUGAGGGGAAAAAAAACAGAAAAUUGCAACUGAAGGGUGCUGAAAUCUUGGAUACCCAGAAAAAAGAAUUGAAAGAUGACAGAGAAACCCUAGAAAGAUAAUGAGAAGAGGAUGAGCAGAAAAAGAUUUUGAUUAAAGAUUACCCUAGCGCAGUGGCUAUAACCCUAGUAGAGGAGCAUAAAUAAAUUGAAAAGAGAAAUAAUAAAGAAAGAACAACAAAUCAAGAACCCAAUCUCUUUCUCCUUUUGGUAAACUGAGAAAAAAAGCACGCCCCUCCCAAAAAAAGAAAACAGGGAAUAUGACUUAAACGGGUGA
rnacentral:misc_RNA from 1 species